AUGCAGGAUUGGGGGUGGCGACAGAAAGCCUGAGAACAUACCCUUUGAACCUGGUCUGGGUAAUGCCAGCGUAGGGAAAUUGCAGCGGUAUGGU
rnacentral:ncRNA from 2 species